rnacentral:rRNA from 1 species
UACAGGGGGGGCAAGCGUUGUCCGGAAUUAUUGGGCGUAAAGGGCUCGUAGGUGGCCAACUAAGUCAGACGUGAAAUCCCUCAGCUUAACUGGGGAACUGCGUCUGAUACUGGAUGGCUUGAGUUUGGGAGAGGGAUGCGGAAUUCCAGGUGUAGCGGUGAAAUGCGUAGAUAUCUGGAGGAACACCGGUGGCGAAGGCGGCAUCCUGGACCAAUACUGACACUGAGGAGCGAAAGCCAGGGGAGCAAACGGG